AAUCUCCCAAUCUGCGCGAUUGCACUUGGUGCUGUAGUGUAAUUGUCGUAACUGGAGAGAGAGAGAAAGCUGAGUUUUGAGGGUUCACCAGAGAGGCCCUCCCAUGGCCUCCCUGGUCCUUUCAAAAUUCCACAUUU